ACUGCGGUGGUGUAAUGGUUAGCAUUUCUGCCUAGCAAGCAAGAAGGUCAGGGUUCGAGUCCCCGCCGCAGUA